AUACGGAGGGUGCGAGCGUUAAUCGGAAUUACUGGGCGUAAAGCGUACGUAGGCGGUUGGUUAAGUUAGAUGUGAAAGCCCCGGGCUUAUCCUGGGAACUGCAUUUAAAACUGGCGAACUAGAGUUGAGUAGAGGGGAGUGGAAUUUCAGGUGUAGCGGUGAAAUGCGUAGAGAUCUGAAGGAACACCAGUGGCGAAGGCGACUCCCUGGACUCGAACUGACGCUGAGGUACGAAAGCGUGGGUAGCAAACGGGAUUAGAAACCCUAGUAGUCC
rnacentral:rRNA from 1 species